UGGGGGAUAUUGCACAAUGGGCGAAAGCCUGAUGCAGCGACGCCGCGUGGGGGAUGAAGGCCUUCGGGUUGUAAACUUCUUUUGCUCUGAACAAGGCGCACCAUGGGGUGUGUUGAGUGUAGGGGUUGAUUAGCGCCGGCUAACUACGUGCCAGCAGCCGCGGUAAUACGUAGGGCGCGAGCGUUGUCCGGAAUUAUUGGGCGUAAAGGGCUUGUAGGUGGCUGUUUGCGUCUGUCGUGAAAGCUCAUGGCUUAACUGUGGGUUUGCGGUGGGUACGGGCUGGCUUGAGUGCAGUAGGGGAGGCUGGAAUUCCUGGUGUAGCGGUGGAAUGCGCAGAUAUCAGGAGGAAUACCGGUGGCGAAGGCGGGUCUCUGGGCUGUUACUGACACUGAGGAGCGAAAGCAUGGGGAGCGAACAGG
rnacentral:rRNA from 1 species